GUCCUAGCCGUAAACGAUGGGCACUAGGUGUGGGGCGUUAUCCAUGCGUUCCGUGCCGUAGCUAACGCAUUAAGUGCCCCGCCUGGGGAGUACGGUCGCAAGGCUAAAACUCAAAGGAAUUGACGGGGGCCCGCACAAGCGGCGGAGCAUGUGGCUUAAUUCGAUGCAACGCGAAGAACCUUACCAGGGCUUGACAUGCAGGGAAAAGCGGCAGAGAUGCCGUGUGCUUCGGCGUCCUGCACAGGUGUUGCAUGGCUGUCGU
rnacentral:rRNA from 1 species